CUUUCUCAUGGUCUCAUCAAAUAAAAACAAAGAGUGAUCAGAAAUUUGACUACCAACUUUAGGACCUCUUUUUUUUUUGGUAAGUACAUCAACAGUUCAUGAAUACUACGAAAAUUUCAACCGAAGAUCUUUCAUUUUUCCCAGUCCUCACUAGUAAUCUGAUCAGAAUUUAUUUUCAUGCAAAGAUAAUCUCACAUAAAGUGAUACUGCAGUUCUUAUAUAAAAAUCACUCUAAGGUCUGUAUCAUUUAUAAAGUGUAAAGACCAAGGUGUAAAAUGUCAGCAUUCUGGCACUAUUCCAAGGAAGACAUUGAAAAUUAGGGCAGAGUAUUUUUAAACCAAUAGGCUUGUAAACCUAUACCUGGUAUAUAAAGUUCUGGCUUACUUUGCCAAUGGUCAUCUGUUGCAGAUGCUUCGAGAGAAGAGUUGCUGGAAAAAAACACAUCAAGUGUAGAAGACAUGUUCAAAAAUAGAAAAUACUGCUCUUGAACUAUGAACUCUCUUCAAAGGAAGUUUUAACAUUUUAAGUCUUCAGGGCCUUUAAAUGUGAACUGGAAAAUGUGGAAACUGGAAAAUAAUUACUUUAUGUACUUUUUAUGUGAGAUUAAGGUCUCUGCUAUAGCAGAGUUCCUUUACAAGGAAUAUGUAGGACAAGGCUAAAGACUGAAACAAGAGGUAAGAACUUCACUUAACACAAACUUGAUAACUGAAAACUUUAGUUAUCAUGGUAUUUCAUUCUGAUGAUAGUUUACAAGUCAAUUAAUGAAAACUGGUAUGUCUACAUGAAAAAAUUUACCUGAUUUAAAGCCAGUCUUCAAGUAUCUGAAUGCAAACUGAUUACUUUUAUAUAUGUGUCUGUGUGUGUGUGUGUGUGUGUGUGUGUGUAUACACACACACACAUACACCCUGGGGCUUUCAUUUCUAUAGUAUAGAGUCCCAGGAGGGAGAUUCUGGGUUGAACUGCAUGUGCAUUUAGAUUUUU